AGGAAUGAAAAGGUGAGACGGUUUCACUGUGUCAUAUGACCCUAAUCUAUUUUCUGCUGUCCGUCUCAAGAGAUCAAAGACAUUCCAUGCCCAGCACCUGACUGGCAGUGUUAUCAUGACAUCAUCCUGACUUCCCUAUCAGCCAGCAUCAGUUUCUUGGGCUGUGACUUGGAUUCAAACUUCCAGGACGUGGAGUGGCCAAGGGUGGGAGAGCCGCUCAUCAUUGAGACCAUCCCAUUAAUGAUAUCCCCUACUUUAUAGACAGCAUCAUCUACCUAUUAAACUCCCAGGACGUUAGGGGUGGGAGAGGUGGUGGCAGGGUGCACUGAUACCAUCAGGGAAAUCGUCCGCUGCGUGACAUCCUUUGACAGUUUCAAAGACUAUUUUAGAAGCAAGGAGUAAGUGGAUUGACUAGAAUAUCACUGUAAAAGUAUACUGGUAAUGCGACCAACUUGUUGUUGAAAGCUGAGUUAUUGGUGGAAAGAAGGUGUCAAGACCACACCACUCUUCGAUUGAGCCACAACCAUUGGAAUCCUUAGAGAUCUGGGUGAGCAAAUAGAAGCCUGGGAAAAUCUAUGGUACAUGAAGCUUCAGAAUUCAUUCUAAUCUGUUAGAAAACUAGUGUUACCAUAGCGACAAAGAUGACAAAUUUAGCAUCAGAUGCGAGCCAGAUGUUGGCUGCUGCUCUUGAACAGAUGGAUGAUAUCAUAGCAGGUACCAGGCUACAGGGUAUGGACUAUGAUAAUGGACCAGUAGUUACUAAUAAUCAAGUUAACAUCACACAUCCAAAAGAAAACGGAUCACACGCAGACGUUCCGCGACUCAUUUCAGAACUACGCUUCGCGGCAGAGAGAGCGAUAGAGAACGGAGAGGAGAACCUUCUUCAUGAUCGUGUAGAGGAUUCUACCAGGCAGUACAUCGUACGUCUACUUGGGGAUAAAAAGGUAAGAUUUUGAUGUUAUGUUUGGCUGCAAUUCUUCAUAACUUUUUAUAUGGCCUAUUCACCAAAAAAAAAAGUACAUUUACUUGUACAGUCUAUGUUGCAGCUUUCAAAAAGUAUCAUAGUAUAUUUAGGUUUAUGACCUGCUCAAUGUAUUUGAUAUGCACAUGUAUCCACUAUCCACUCUCAAUUAACAAUUCAUAUUUCAAAUAAGUUUCAAAACAACAUCAUUAUUUUCCCCCUUAGAGUUAUACAGUCUCGAUUCAAUGAAAAUGAAACUACAUGUUAUGUAUGCGUACAUUUUUAAUGUCAUGAAAGUGCUCUUUGAAGGGUUAUUGCAGUAAAAUAUUGUUGAUGUAGGCCUACCAUGUACAUGUAUACCGGUAUGUGCUCAGGGGAGUUCCACAAUUAUGAUUGGUUUCAAAACUAUUUUAUUAAAUUGUUUGUUGUGAUUCAGUGCAAUUAACUAUGAAACAGCAAUUAUAAUCAUAUCAUUUAAAGGGGUUCCAUACUCAAUACAUCGCUGUAUCUUUUCAUCAAACAACCAGAAAUAUAUUGUGAAUUUUAAGUUAAAAAUUAUGAUAGGCAUUGAAUCUUCAAAAUAUGAAUUCCCAGUGCACUACUUGUGGUGUCAAAAAAUAUUUUCAUCUUGAGCUGUAUCUUUAGCCUACACUCUAUAACACACUAGAAUUAUUCUUUUAUUAUUUAUUUCAACCUGUGCUUUUUACAUAUUCCUUUUUCAAAAUAUGAAAAUGAAUAAGAAAAAUAUUGCCUGUGGUAUGCGUGUGCGUCAAACUUUGAUUGAGGCUAAUUGAUUUAUUACUGAUACUAGCAUGUUGAUCAAGGUAUCAAAUUCCUCAGAAUAAUGUUACAAAUAAUAAUGAUAAAAAAACUGCAAUACUACAUGUAUGUUGUUUAACGGUGUGACACGCUCAUAUUCGUGCGUGCAAAAUUUUGAAAUGCUUAAAAUGACCUGAAACGUACUCUAAUUGGUCAAAAAGUGAUGUUUAGCAUUUAAAAAAAUUUUCAUGACCUCAUCAUGAUUUUGAUGACAUGGGUAGUUGACAUUUGACCUGAAGUUGAUAUGAUGUGAAUAUGAUUUAUUUUUUAUAUUGAAGAUAUGAUUGAUAAUGUGAUUUUACAAAAUGGUGCCUAGAUGAUGUCACAAUUACCUUUUGACCUUGAACAGUACAUGGCAUAAUAGAUCCGCAUUAAACUGAUCAAAAUCUUAAAGGAAAUUGAUGGAGGAGUUUUUGAGAUUUUGUGCUAACAAGAAAAGGGUGGAAAUUAAUAU